CUCCAUCAGUUUCACCUAUGGCUUCUUAGGAGAUUUGCAACAAGCAGCUGAUGUGAAGGAAAAAACCUGGUCCUGGUUCAUAAAUGGGUAGACUUAACAUGUUUGUGCAAAUUGAAAAUAGACUUCUACACUACAGCCCGUUCAGGGGUGGCUCCAAGAGACAGGAGUGAGGAGAAAGCAUCCUACUGGGGAGAGCUUCAAGCAGUACACAGCACAAUUUUGUGUGGCAGGGUCAGAGGUAAGGAGAUAUAUAUAUGUAAAUAUAUACAUAGAGAGAGAGAGACUCCUGGGAAGUGAUGAAAGGCUUGGAUGUAUCGUCAGGAAGGAACAGUGGAAGAUCAGCGACAAAGAGGUCUGGAAGAGGCAUUUAGAUCAACCUAUGGGGGCAGUCAUAAGAGUGACUUAACGUGGGGACAGAGUGGAUCUGAGCAGUGCAAGGGGAGAGUGCAGCAAAUUCUGGACAUGCCUCACCUAUGUCCUUAUGUUUUAAAAACCUCUCUUCUAAAAAGCAUAUGACUGUAUUUUUUCAAUCCAAUCUGGUAAUUUCCGUCUGUAACUGAAUGUGUUUAGUCCAUCACAUUUUUGUGAUUUCUGAUAUGCUUGAAUUUAUUUCUACCGUCUAACUUGGGGCUUCCUAUAUUUCCUGCUUUGUUAAUGCUUCUGUUUUCUCCUCUGUUGCCUUCUAAUAGGUUGACUGUUUUUUUAUUCCUUUUUCUCUAAUUGUUUUAAAAUUAUACACUCUAUUUCUAUUCUUAAAGCUACCCUUAAUUUUAAUACAGAUAUUUGACUUAACAAGGUCUAAAGUUAAAUAAUAUCUCUACCAUCCUUUAUACAAUAAAAUGACUUAAAUCUUUAACUCCAAUAUACAUGUUAUCAUUUUAUACUGUUGUGUUCCAACUUCUAUUUAGACCAUUCCACUAAAAAUUAAUUUUUAUUAUCACUGUAUAUAAGUUCUUUUCUAGUAAACCCAUGUAUUUAUAUAUUUUUUAUUAUUGUAUUGUACAUUUACUCCUGAGUUAGAUUUCCUUCUUCUAGAAAUAUACCCUUUAGUUAUUUUUUCAACACAGUUUAGUUACUAAUAAAUAUUUCAGUAUUUUUCUGAAAAUAUCUUUAUUUUGCCCUUUCUCUUGAAUGCUAGCUUACCUGGGAAUAAAAUUCUAGGUAGAUACUUAUUUUCUGUAGGCACUUUCACGAUGUAAUACCAUCCGUCUUGUAUUGUUGUUCUAUUGUCCACCAUUUCUAUUGUUGUUCUUGAUAAGUCUAAAGUUAGUCUAAUUGUCAUUCUCUGUGGUUAAUCUCUUUAUUCUCUCUAUUGUUUUAAGAUGCUGUCUUUGAUUUUAGGGUUCUUCAGUUUCACUUCAAAGUGUGUAUGUAUAGAUUGUUUUAUUUAUCCUGCUUAAGAUAUUUAGGCUUCCCAAACCUGAAGAUUUUAUGUCUUUCAUGAAUUCUGGAUAAUUCUUAUUCAAAAUUGCUUUAGAUAUUGUCUGUCCAUUCUCUCUCUUCUAAUCUUCUGGAGCUUUUCUUAGCUGAAUGUUGAACUCUCUCUUUUAUCCUCCAUUUUUCUUAACCUGUCUUUUAUAUUUUCCAUUUCUAUAUCUAUGUAUACAUUCUGGGUAAUUUUUUCAGAUCUAUCUACCAGUUCACUAAUUUUCUCUUUGGCUGUGUCUAAUCUGAUGUGUAGUCUGGUCACUGAGUUUUUAAUUUCAAUGAUUAUAUUCUUCAUUUCUAUAAAUUCUAUCUGGUUCUUUUUCAAGACUGUUUUUUUCUAUUUCAUAGUGUCUUAUUCUUUUCUUUAUUAUGUUAAGCAGAUUUGGGGGUGUUACCAAGGCAUAGCCUAGCCUAGCCUGCCUAAUUCAACAUGCCUAUUUGCAUGAUUACUGUAUGUCUCCCUACUAAAUUGUGUGUUUCAUGAGGGCAGAGCCAUAUCUGUGCUUCAAUCAAUUGCAGUCAACAUUAAUUCUGACGCUCAUUAU
rnacentral:lncRNA from 1 species